rnacentral:miRNA from 1 species
UACUGGCUUUAAGUUCGGAUUUUU